AAUCAAUGAUUCAUUUGAACCAUUCUCUGAUAAAAAUUCGAGGUUUUCUAAGAUCGAAAGAUCGAUGAUUUUUUUUGGUUCUGAUAGGGUUCCUUCGAGUUUCUAUCUUCACGAUUUGUGACCGUUCCUUCUCUAUUGAACGGUGCAAUCGUUUAUUGUGAAGUUUUCGGAGAUUUUCCGGUGAGUUUUCAACCUCUAGG
rnacentral:lncRNA from 1 species